rnacentral:lncRNA from 1 species
UCAAUUUUUACCCGUGUAGCAAAAGGUUCACUAAGCAAGAAAUCCAAGUCAGCGUCUUCCCUGGAGCACUAAGUUGAAUCAACAUGAACGAAUUGCGUUUUAUUCAAAAGUACAAAUAGAGACAAUCAGGAGCAAAAAUUAUUGAGACAACCGCAUAAGUGCCCCCCUCACCCCCAAUUCAAUGUUGCGUGGAUGACUGAAAAGAGAAAAUUCAACCCACUUUUUCCAACAUUGAUCAUGGGGGCAGGGGGAGGCCGACGUACUUUAAAAUGGCCAAAAAUGUGAAAAGUCUCAUUAUUUUUGC